rnacentral:rRNA from 1 species
AAAAUAACCAUGAUUCCCUCAGUAACGGCGAGUGAAGCGGGAAAAGCUCAAAUUUGAAAUCUGGCAACAUUUCUUUUGUUGUCCGAGUUGUAAUUUCAAGAAGCUGCUUUGAGUGUAGACGAUCGGUCUAAGUUCCUUGGAACAGGACGUCAGAGAGGGUGAGAACCCCGUCUUUGGUCGAUUGGAUAUGCCAUAUAAAGCGCUUUCGAAGAGUCGAGUUGUUUGGGAAUGCAGCUCUAAAUGGGUGGUAAAUUUCAUCUAAAGCUAAAUAUUGGCGAGAGACCGAUAGCGAACAAGUAGAGUGAUCGAAAGAUGAAAAGAACUUUGAAAAGAGAGUUAAAUAGUACGUGAAAUUGCUGAAAGGGAAGCAUUGGAAAUCAGUCUUACCUGGGUGAGAUCAGUAGUCUCUUCGCGAGACUAUGCACUCUGAACCUGUGGUAGGUCAGCAUCAGUUUUCGGGGGCGGAAAAAGAAUAAGGGAAGGUGGCUUUCCGGGUUCUGCCUGGGGAGUGUUUAUAGCCCUUGUUGUAAUACGUCCACUGGGGACUGAGGACUGCGGCUUCGUGCCAAGGAUGCUGACAUAAUGGUUUUC